rnacentral:lncRNA from 12 species
AAAGGGCAAAACAGGCUCAGCUUUAAGGUAUAAAGUGAAUUUACUGCUAACAGAACCAGGGAAGUCAAAUAAGAGCUUAAAACACCUUUUUUUCCCCCCCAGCCUCUCCCUCCUUCCCACCAGCAGUACAGGGAAAAGGCAUGAGGGUUUUGAUCACUCUUUCCAUGGGGUGCAGUGCUCCAAGGACGGGGACUCUCCUUGCUGCCCCCUCCACCCUGGAAAGGAAAGAAGGCGAGCAGGAAAGCCCCAAAAGGACACGUCUCCAGGUUCGCAAAGCUGCGAUUAAAGUGCUGCGUGGAGAAGGCAAAAAAAAUAGUUUUAGGAAAGCAAACAGGCUUGAGAAGUAAAAAACAAAUGUAAACUAAAAAAGAAAAAGAAAAACCUACUAAAAUAAAUAUUUUAACUGUCAACCUCAAAAGUAGUUUCUAUUUUUACAUUCUGCACAUUCUUUUGAGCUCUCUUUU